rnacentral:rRNA from 1 species
CCUACGGGCGGCAGCAGUGGGGAAUAUUGGACAAUGGGGGGAACCCUGAUCCAGCCAUGCCGCGUGUGUGAAGAAGGCCCUCGGGUUGUAAAGCACUUUCAGUGAGGAAGAACGCCUGGUGGUUAAUACCCAUCAGGAAAGACAUCACUCACAGAAGAAGCACCGGCUAACUCCGUGCCAGCAGCCGCGGUAAUACGGAGGGUGCGAGCGUUAAUCGGAAUUACUGGGCGUAAAGCGCGCGUAGGUGGCUUGAUAAGCCGGUUGUGAAAGCCCCGGGCUCAACCUGGGAACGGCAUCCGGAACUGUCAAGCUAGAGUGCAGGAGAGGAAGGUAGAAUUCCCGGUGUAGCGGUGAAAUGCGUAGAGAUCGGGAGGAAUACCAGUGGCGAAGGCGGCCUUCUGGACUGACACUGACACUGAGGUGCGAAAGCGUGGGUAGCAAACAGGAUUGGAUACCCCUGUAGUC